GCCAGGCAUGGUGGCACAUGCCUGUAAUCCCAGCGGCUCAGGAGGCUGAGGCAAAAGGAUCAUGAGUUCAAAGCCAGCUUCAGCAACUUAGCAAGGUACUGAGCAACUCAGUGAGACCCUGUCUCUA
rnacentral:sRNA from 1 species